rnacentral:RNase_P_RNA from 1 species
GAAAGGUGCGGUAAGAGCGCACCGGAGCGUAUGAGAAUACGCUGCCGUGUAAACCCUGCCCGAUGCAACGCUGAUUGGUGUAUCAGGUCAUAACGUCUGCUCGGCGGAUCUGAUGCAAAGGCGGCUCGAUUGUUCCGGCGACGGAACGGCUAGAUAAAUGACUGCGGUCGGUUUCUCCGGAAACCGUCACAGAACCCGGCUUACAGGUUCGGUCACGCC